GCCAGGCGUUGUGGUGAGCACCUGUAGUCCCAGCUACUUGGGAGGUGGAGCCAGGAGACUUGCUUGAGCCCAGGAAUUGGAGGUUGCUGUGAGCUGUGAUGCCACGGUACUCUGCCCAGGGGGACAGCUUGAGGCUCUGUCUCAAAAAAGAAAAGAAAAGAAAAGAAAUCAGUUGUCAAAAAUUUAUUUAUUUAUUUAUUUAUUUUUUUUUUUUGAGACAGAGCCUCAAGCUGUCCCUCUGGGUAGAGUGCUGUAGCAUCAUAGCUCACAGCAACCUCCAACUCCUGGGCUCAAGUGAGUCUCCUGCCUCCA
rnacentral:SRP_RNA from 1 species